GGGGCUUUGACUAAUGGUAAGCUAUCUUAUUUGCAUUAAGGUAAUUCUAGUUCGAUUCUAGAAAGCUCCA
rnacentral:tRNA from 1 species